GGACCCAAGGAGGAAAGCCACGGGCCGAGACAGCGAAGGGACACGACAGCUACAGCCGCAGCAGCACACUUUCUGGACACGCAGCACUCGCACCCGGGGCUCUGAGCUCUUCACAUGGGAACUCGCUCGGGCCACACGGCAACCACGGCCAUCGGUGCCGUUCCGUCCCCAGUUCCCACGUCUACACAAAGGCCCCGUGCGGCGGGUGAGGGGCAGAACCCGGCUCUGAACCCAGGCAGCCAGGCUCCCUCAUGGGAAAGAGCCGCAAACCUCCCCACGGGACAGCAGGACGGCCGCCACGUUCAGGUCCCACGUGGGACUCUGCCCCUGGAGAAGCACCUCCAGACCCGCGACGCUCAGCAGCCACGCCAGGGCAACAACUCCCAGUACCACCACCAACGCAACCCUCUUUCCCACACUCCAGACAGACGUGUCCUAGCCCACAGGCGUCGUCCCACCUCUCAACCACCUGCUUCUAGGCUACAGCCUGCCCGGGACAAUGACAGCACAUCCCCCUUGGUGCCCAGGACCCCGGGAACAGGCCAGACUUCUCCUCCCCCGCUCCAGUCACCCCCACGCCCUCUGCGUCACCCUCCUCACCGCCUCACGGGGCCGGCCCUGCCUUGGCCUGCCUCUGGGCCCGCUCCCGUCAGCCCGCGAUGCCUCCCUGUGUGCCCUGUCCCGUCUUCUCUCAGCCUCACCCUACACCUGCCUUCCUCGGGGACCUGAACUAAGGCCAAAGCUGUAGUGACCUUCCAAAAGGUACAACAAGAACGUGUCCCAUGCGGUUUCAGGAGGGAGGCGAAACCCCUAGCAGGGGUGCGGGCUGGACAGCCCCGUGCACUCCGCCAGGCCUCUGGGUCACGGAGGCAGUCUGCAAGACCGGGCUCCCAGCCGUGGCUCAGACCUAGAACGGCUCACGCACGUGCAGCAAACCCAGCACUCAAGCGCCUACGGCUUCUUACCCCUGAAGCUUCAACCCCUUAAAUUCAUAAAUUCCCAAACCUUCCUGGCACAGAGCCCUCUUCCAUGACUGUUCUGAGCACAUUAUACACUCCGGUUGCGACACCCCACUCACGGGGAGCCCCUAGGCUUUGGUGCCGCCUAAGCGGCUGUAUUUACCACGCUCCACGUCUGGAGGAGCUCUGCACCCUGCUACCCCUACCUCUGAGAUCAUGAGAAGCCUCCUGACCUCCUCCCCCAACCUUCCUUCCUGAGGCUGACGGCACCUCCGGAGCCCGUCCAAGACGAUGGGCCCAUUCGAAGGACAGAACUGCUGAACGGGCCUCAUGCUACGGAGGCGUGGGGCGCAGGCACGACAAGCAUGAGCCGCAUCGUUUCCAAACAAGUCGAGCCUGCAGAACAAGAACGAGCCUUGCACCCAAGGAGGCAAACCCCUGUCCCGCCUGGACAUCACUGAGCUGGUGGUCUACAUCCCCAGGUGGCCUUCCAGGGAGACCUGGAAAGAAUAUUCAAACAAGAGCAAAAGACAAAAGUCGCUUGGCCCACAGCACCAUCUGGCAUUUCUCCUGCGCGGACACCAGAGGGCUGACGCGUGCUCCCGCGACGGCACAUCACCCGCUGAGGUUGGCAUUUCUCCUGCGUGGACACAAGAGGGCUGACGCGUGCUCCCGCGACGGCACAUCGCCCGCUGAGGCUGGAAGCAACGCCGGACGAGUCCACGCAGUGGCACAGAGGACGGACACGGAGCAGGGUCCGCGCGGGACAGGACCCCUCUCGCAGACCUUAGCACCUCUGAGCAGUCACAGCCCUGCCCGGGCACCAGGGAAGCCUGAGACGGCGUCACAACUGUGCGUGGCCUUUCCUCACCAUGGACAGGGUGGGGACAGGCUAUGGAAGCCAAGGCACAGAGACCACACCAGCGUGAGGAGACCCGGCUGCCCCCAGAACCACUGGGCGGGAAGCCUGCUUCAGGGCCCGGAGCCAGCAGCUCAGGCCACACGGGGACAAGCGGGAACAGCCAAGCAGGAACAGCCAAGCGGGACACACUUAUGACAGUUCAGCACACAGAGCGUGUGGCCAGCUGGGCUGCCGUGAAGGCCAGCUAGGCCUCUCCUCGCUAAGAAAACCCAGAAGUAUGCGUA